rnacentral:misc_RNA from 1 species
GAUGAGAACGUCGCGAAAUGCGAUAAGUAAUGUGAAUUGCAGAAUUCAGUGAAUCAUCGAAUCUUUGAACGCAUCUUGCGCUCCUUGGUAUUCUGAGGAGCAUGCCUGUUUGAGUGUCAUUAAAUUCUCAACUACACUGACUUUGAAUUGGUGUGGCUUGGAUUUGGGGGGAAAAUUGUUGUGGGCUUUUUGUAUAGUCUGCUCCCCUGAAAUUGAUUAGCGGUACCUUUGUGGAACUGUCUACAGGUGUGAUAAUUAUCUACAUCUUAGACAUCUGCUGGAAUGCUGCUUUCUAAACCUUACUUGUAUUGACAAUCUUGACCUCAAAUCAGGGAGGACUACCCGCUGAACUUAAGCAUAUCAAUAAGCGGAGGA